rnacentral:lncRNA from 1 species
UCACGUGAAUUAUGGCUCGUGCUUGUUGAAUCGUUGGCACUAAUCAUUAAUUUCAAAAACUCAAACUGUUAGAAUACGCAAUCAACUUACUUAAUGCGCAUAGAUAUAGCGAUCCACGGGUCUCGAUUGUGACUCAGUUCAACCAGCCUCACGCUACUUUGAAUAUGACUCGACCCACCCAGCCUUACGCCAUUUCGAACAUAAUUCGGCUAAUAUGAUCUCACACCACAAGGCAGAAUGCUGGUCGAUUUAAGCCAACAGUGCUUGCACCAUAUAAGCCUCCGGUAACUUCCCUUCCUCUAAUCUUCGCUUUGCC